CUGUGAAAGUCUUUGAAUAGAAAACGCUUCUACAGUGUCGCCUUGCUCUUCCUUUUCAGAAAGAAAUUCGCUGCCAAACUCCGUAUUUGAGAUCCUGGACCUUCCACGCUGCCCACAUCAGGAGCUUUAGCCAGCAGCCUGGUCAGUGUUCUCAGGCCAAUGCGAUGUCAUUAGGGCUUGGUCCAGUAAUCCAGUGGUUUCUAGUAUUAGCUUUAGUCACUUAGGGUGUACUUAUUUCCAAUAUAGUGAAGGUCUUUAACGUGGGAGUCGAAAGCCCAAACCAUUUCAAAUCAUGGGUGGAAAACACGCAUGAAAAUGGUUUAUAAAGUAUAAACAACUUUGUAAACAGUAUAGCCAAGCAAAGAUAGAAUGUUAUAUGCAUUGCCUGAAGUAAUGCAUAAAGGCAGAAGUUUUAGCCAGAAUGAAAGAUUGUGAACUGGGGGAGGGACAGGGGGCGGCAGUGUUGAGGCAGAAAAGCUGGAGAAGAAGAGUGGGAACUUCCUCCUCAACUUGCUGCCCAUAGAGAAGCACGCCCCUCUUCCUGAUGGCUGUGGGAACUAGGUCAACCUGGACCGCUAAGUUUGAACCCUAUCGUGGCAGCUUUUCAAAUCCCUUUCCUGGACUCCUACUCCAGAAGGCAAAAUGGUUUCGGUUUGUCUUUAUUUCCCAUCUUUUCACCCAGGUCCUCAACUACAUGCUAAUCCCCGCCGGACCAUCGUUCAGUUUUAUUCACAGAAACGGUGCCUUCAAGAAAUCAAAGCAUAAGAGCCUUCGGAAGCAGCAUGUAAGUGCAACGUAACUUUCCCGAGUUUGGUGACGAUGAAUCGAUGAAUCGUAGACUGCAGGCUGAGCCGCCUGAGCUGGGAGCAGCAGCAGUUCUCAGGGAGCCACUGCCCCCUGGUGUCUCCACACUGGCCAGGAAGCAUUUUUGGUCAUGAUCUGUAAGAGAUUAUUGCUGGGCUCUUUCUGACUCGUGCCUUCAUCUCAUGGCUUUUAAAAUCAGACCUUUCUUCCUCCUCUCCCCCACUCUGAUUUUUAAUAAGACCCAUUUUAUUAUAAUUAGCAAAAUAGUGUAUACUCCUUGAAGAAAAUUUGAGUAUGAUUAUUUAAUUUCAUUAAUGUUUUAAUGUAUUUCCUCCCCCAAUUUUUUUUCUUUCUACGUAUAAGGAAAUCUAAUUUUACUUGGGGACAGAAGAAAAGCCACAAAAACUAUGAAACCUAAUUUUAUCAUAAAUGUCACAUAAACACGAUCCCCUGCACAGUAAGAAAACCAGUUUUUGAAUCUGCUAGAAUACUAAGAAACAGAGUUGAUGUUUCUCUCUUAAACAAUAUAAAACAUAAAGGAUAGCACUUUAGAUCAUAGGCCCUCAUAAAAUGUGCCUGUAGUUUCAAUACUAUGGAUUAAGAAUACUGGAGCGGGUUUUGGCCGGGCUCGGUGGCUCACGCCUGUAAUCCCAGCACUUUGGGAGGCCAAGGCGGGCAGAUCACGAGGUCAGGAGUUCGAGACCAGUCUGGCCAAUAUGGUGAAACUCCGUCUCUACUAAAAUACAAAAAGUAGGCGGGCAUGGUGGUGCGCGCCUGUAAUCCCAGCUACUCAGGGGGCUGAGGCAGGAGAAUCACUUGAGCCAGGAAGGCAGAGAUUGCAGUGAGCCGAGAUUGCGCCACUGCACUCUAGCCUGGGCAACAGAGUGAGACUCCAAAAAAAAAAAAAAAAAAAAGAAGACUGUAGUGGGCCAGUGGGCCAGGCAUGGUGGCUCACACCUAUAAUCCUAGCACUUUGGGAGGCUGAGGCGGGCAGAUCACUUGAAGUCAGGAGUUCAAGACCAGCCUGGCCAACAUAGUGAAACCUUGUCUCUACUAAAAAUAGAAAAAUUAGCCAGAAAUCGCUUGAACCUGGGAGGCAGAGGUUGCAGUGAGCCAAGAUUGUGCCACUGCAUUACAGCCUGGGCGACAGAAUGAGACUCCGUCUCGAAAAAAAAAAUACUGCAGUGAAUGCAACUAUAGACACUCAUUAAAUUAAAUAUUAUCUCAUUUUCAACACAGAAAAAUAAAACUCCCUGCUUUAAAGAGAGAAUGUGUCAAUUAUGUAAUUUGGCAGUCUAAAUGGUCCCGUUAUUGGCAACUGCUUUCACAUGUGAUUGAUCAUAUUGCUAAAUAUUGUGUAGGUAUGUUGCUUCCUCUCACCAUGGAGAAUAUAGAAACAGAGGCUUAGAUCUGGGUAUUAUAGAAGGAGGUGAGAACGAGGUCUUUGCUUCCCCAAGUUCCUUUUCUUCUGUAUUUUAUUCAUUGUGUGUGUCAGUUAAAUGCUUAUACAAUACAAUAUAAACAUAGUUGUAUGAUGUCAGAGAGUAACUGUGGAUGAGAACUGGAAUGGGGUAGAAGGAAGCUUAAUGGUUUCAAUAUUUUGUCUGAUGCUUUAUUUUCUUUGAAGACCCUGCGACUAAGAGAGGACAUUUCAGUAUGAGCCGGAAUUUGAUCUCAACUAGGAGUUUAGAGAGGGACAGGUGAAAGAAGCCCUGGAACAUGGGUUCUCAAUUUUUUUUAUGCUGAGAUCACUUUAAUUCUAUGGGAAGAAAACUCCAUGGCUGGAUGUGGUGGCUCACUUCUGUAACCCCAGCAUUUCAGGAAGCCAAGGUGGAAACCUCAUUUGAGCCCAGGAGUUUGAGACCAGCCUGGGCAACAUAGUGAGACUCCCAUGUCUAUUAUUUAAAAAUAAAAAUAAAAAAGGCCAGGUGCAGUGGCUCACGCCUGUAAUCCCAACAAUCUGGGAGGCCGAGGCAGGCAGAUCACUUGAGGUCAGGAGUUCGAGACC
rnacentral:lncRNA from 10 species